rnacentral:lncRNA from 1 species
UGGAAAAGGUUAUCUUUUGAUGAGACAUGAGUCCAUGCACCCAUUUUCAGGUGCUCAUCUGAAGCUGGGUCGGCACUAACUCAACCCAGGCGUCGUUCUCUCCCACCUGUACAGCUCCUCCCGGGGGAUUCCAGGACAUCCAGGCCAGAUGAGAUACAUACAAGUAAUGCCUCAAGCGAAUUGUGGGCCUGGCCCUGGGACUUGGAUGUGCCCUGAACACAUCCAAUUGAAGACGACGCGACCGUGGACUCCAGGACGAUGCCCUUGUCAGACCCCGGCGAGGGAGAACAGCCACGAGGCCGGGGACGGCACCAGGCAUGAGUGGACAUGGGCUCGAGCCAGGUACCGCUGAGAAGCAGCUCCACGCCGGCCGGCGGGUCGCACGGAGCCACACACAGAUACUGGCUGGGAAAAGAAACAUGCACGUAGGAGGAUAGAUGAGUAACGGUUCCUCCCCCUCUGCUGCCCUACAAGUGCCCUUGAGCAAGUCGGUCAUUGUUAAGAGACGAGGGAAGAGGCGGAGGUGGAAGAAGCAGCGCGAGCUCUUGCAAGUGUGUGUGAAGACGACGGAGAAUGAGGCGAAAGACAAGAGACUAAGUGUUUCCCGAGCGGAGGGAGAGAAUGGCUCCGCUGUCGGCUCAAUGCCCACAGGAACGAAGCGGGGACCAGCGCAUCGUAAGACAACGCACAGCGGUGACUCAGCCUCCAGCAGCAGAAGCAGUCCAGACGAGGCCGGAGUUUAGAGCUGUGUGUCAUUAAGGCCCGCGGACCGCUUCAAGGUUCUGUGGUACCUCUGCUGGAAGACGUCUCCGUGGUUGAGUCACUGCUUAGAAAGCUUCCACAUCCUGCCUUCGCUGAGACACCAGGAGGAUAGACAGACAGAUAGAUAUGUAUUAUCUGAGGUGUUUACCAAAGCCGCACUACAGAGUAGAGAGAGGAGCCCACAGCACAUACACAUCAAGCGAAGGAUGUUCCAGUGCUCUGAUUUCUCAAGCAGAUAUACAGAAAACCCAUCGCCAAAGAAUGAAGGUGAGGCUCUCUAGAGAAAACCCCAUCUCUGGUUCUUUAAUGCAGAAAAAACACAGAGGAUCAGCUGCUUAAUCUAAAGCUCAGUCAACAGCAACAUCUACCGCAGGUAGAAUUGAUCACGAUUGUAGGUUUUCUGUCUAGACCAGCGUCACAUGCCUGAUAUACAGUAUUUACUGUGCUGAUGUUUGCUGCAUGCAGUGGCUGCACACCUCCUCAGCAGAGUGCCUGCUAAAAAUAACACCUGAUGCAGACCAGCCACAGACCCCAGCAAUGCGUACAGUUACAUCUAUCGAUCAUUAUCUAGCUGACACGUCCAGAAGACCUCCUGCUGCUCUGUGAAUAUGCAUCCUGGCGCUGAUUAAGUGCGGUUCUGCCCUCCUGACCUGCUGGAUCGGUCCUGGUCGUGUGUCCAGACCAGCGCUCAGCUGCACAGUACAGUAACCCAUGAAUUAGUUAGGCUUCCCUAUUAUUUUAGCUCGUCCU